GUAAUGAUUGUUAAAACACCUGCUGCUUUGUCUUUAAGAAAAUAUUGCUAAUAAGUUAUAUGCAGCCCCCUUCCCUCAUGUUGUGGGGCAUGGGAACCAAGGAGCUUUGAGAGUAAAUAUCCUUCCCCUGUAAGAGAGAAAUUGAUUGGGAACACUCAGAUCUUGGAAAAAAAUGGAUAAGAGGAUUUGACCUGGAUUUUCUUUACUAUGCAUCAAGUUGUUCAUUGAAAUAUUGGUAAUAUUUAGUUAUUCCCUAAGAUGGCAGGAAGCUAAUGUGAAGAUAUCCUAUUGAAUUAGAUAAGAACAAGGUACAUAAAGCAUCGAGCAUAUCCUUUUGUUGGGAUACUUCUCUGUAUGUCAUUUGUUUAAAUAUGAAUUGAGCAAACUGUAGCAUGUUUGAUAAAUGCUUUUCUCUGGAGAGGUAUUGCUUCACAAGAACUGGAUUGGAAAUAUCUUAAAUUGUGCAACAUUCUUUCUGUAUUUCGUUUGUGUAACACAGCUUCCAUGGGUAUUACAUGGGCAUCAGUCAAAGGCCAUUUUAGGCAUGGGAUUUGAAAUCCAGUGAGUCACUCCUUGGAAGGACUACAAACGUCUGCCCCUUUAUCUUUAUUGCUACU